rfam:Triticum aestivum genome assembly, contig: Triticum_aestivum_CS42_TGACv1_scaffold_576898_7BL
AUUUUACUCCUCCGUCCGGAAAUACUUGUUGAGAAAUGAAUGUAUCUAGACGUAUUUUGGUUCUAGAUACAUCCAUUUUUAUCCAUUACUCUGACAAGUAUUUUCGGACAGAGGGGAGUAGUAU